UCCUUAACCAAUAAUAUCCCAAGUCUCUCCACAUGUUGAUGAAAGAUCUCUUUGUCAGAGCUGAAAGUUGCUUCAACCAACUUGCCUGACUGCCUCCUCUUCUGUCAAUCACAAGCCCUUCCUGCAAUACAAAUCCAGGGACACCAUGCACAUGCGCAUACGCAUACGCAUACCCUGUGAGUUCCUUUCAGAGUUGCAGCCACAAGGUCAAAGUCUGAAUUUGUACAACGUAGGAAGUGAUCAGAAGGAUUUCUUCGACUUGGGCAUGGGAAUCCAGCUUCAGCAAAGAACUGCAAGUGAAUAAUUCCAGUAACUCAGUCCAUGGCUUGCAAAUGUUGUGACUUUAACUGUUGACUCUCAUGGUUUGCUGGCAACAAGCUUAGGAAUGACAACAGGUUUGGUUCACAGCUGGGUCAAGGAGGGACCAGGUGAAGCAGCGUAAACUGGCAACCAGGGGUCUCCUUAUUUUUUCAGAAGCCACAAUGGGGCGUCACGUGGAUGCAAGUUAUUGUGGCAAUAAAUGUUAUCAACAAACCACCUGUACGUGCUUUCUUGUCUCCAGUUAUUGUGCUAGGUGUUUGCAUAUAAAGGUAAAUCAUCAGAGUAUAUCAGCUCAUCAGUAAAAUUUAGCGGAAUCAGGCUUUGGUGCUUUUAAUGGAGAGGAGAGUUGCGGCCAUCCUGUGAAGACAGUGAAUAGAGAGUCUGGUAUCUCUUGGAAGAGAAGGAAGGUAUUUUCCUGAAAGAAGGCCUCUUAUCGAGUUGUUCCUUGAUUUUCUUGGCA